ACUGCCCUCGCUGUAGUUCUCGGAGAUGAGCUGAUCGAAGAGCAGGUGGAUCUCGGUGCGGGCGGAGCUGCUGUCAUCCGGGCGCAGGGCGCAGAGCCUGGCAGACAAGAGGCGAAACCCAUUGCCUCGCUCAGGGAUUGCUUCCCGCGGUGCCUCCCGCGGCUGCACGGAAGGCCACGAACCGACAACUUGCACAGCAGCCAUCUUUUCUACGGGCGGGGGGGGUGGGUGGGGUGAUCCCAGGGAAAUACUUCCGGGACAUCCUCCCGUUCCGCGCGCUCUAGUUCCGAAAGUACCUUUUUUAGACCGGACUGGGGCUCAGAGGGGUUUCCAUGACUACGGGACUCCUCCGACCGGUACCCUGCAGAUGCUUGUCAGAAAUUGGCUUGGAGGCCGGGCUCGGUGGCUGACGCCUGUAAUCCCAGCACUUUGGGAGGCCGAGGCGGGCGGAUCACGAGGUCAGAAGAUCGAGACCAUCCUAGCUAACACGGUGAAACCCCGUCUCUACUAAAAAUACAAAAAAAAAAAAAAAAAAAAAAUUAGCCGGGAGUGGUGGCGGGCGCCUGUUGUCCCAGCUACUCGGGAGGCUGAGGCAGGAGAAUGGCGUGAACCCGGGAGGCAGGGCUUGCAAUGAGCCAAGAUCGCGCCACUGCACUCCAGCCUGGGCGACAGAGCGAGACUCCGUCUCAGAAAAAAAAAAAAAGAAAGAAAUUGGCUUGGAGAUUUUUCGCCGGCCACUCCUUCUUGAGCCCUGACUGAAAAGUGAGUUCUCAAUUUGUGCUUCCAGAAAGUUUGUCCUCCCAGAGUUUGUUCCUGGACAGGGCUGAAGGUACUCUGUUCCGUACUAGAGUUUCAGAUUCGGGCUGGAGUUGGAGAGGGUAUGCUGUGGAUGGCAGUAGCAGAAACCGCUAGUUCUAAGGCACCCUUCUACUCUUCUAAAAUCUUUCCCCAGGCACAAAACCACCCGGAAUAAAGGCUACGUUCCCUAGCAUUCCUUGCAGUUGGCUGUGGCUCUGUGAUUGCAAUCUGGUCAGUGGAAUAUAAGGCAGCUUUCCCUACUUAAGUGACAGCUGGCUGUACUCUUGGUUCCUUUUUCUCCCUUUUUCCCAGUGUGAAUCCUCUCAUGGAUCAUGAGGCACCUCGCCCCACUAGAAGAGUAAUUUUGGAGUUUAACUGAAUCAUGUAAAAUAUAAUCUGCCUAAGAGUGACCGGGUUGAAAUGAGACACCCCAAGAUUUUCUGAAACCUUGAAGUCAAGAAGCUGGAGAAUAAAAUGGCCAUUUAAAAAUCUGUGAUCACUUUUCAGUCAUCCAGGAAGUGAAGGCUUGACUUUCACAGUUGGGCAGAUUGGGAAAACCAUCUCUAGGGCCUUUGAGUUAUGCAAAUAUAAAGCAAAUCCUCACCCUUGGCCCUUAGGGAAAACCUUGAAGUCACCUGAAUGUAUGUUUUAUCCUGAGAACAAAACAUUUCUGUUCAGCAGUGAAAAUUGGGGGUAUGCUUUAGCAGAGGUAGUUUUCUGAAGACUUUGGGCUUGGGGAGAAAUGUUAAUUUUUUUGUUUGGAUUUAGAUUCCGUUGUGCUGGUAUAUUAUUUCUUAUUCCUAGUCUGUGUACAUAUGUGCGUUAUAUAUGUGCAUGUGUGUGUGUGUAUUCGUGUAAAGAAAUGUAUUCAAGCAUUUGUUCAGAGAAGAUCAGGAGCUGAAACCUAGUCGUUGGAUAUUUUAAUCUGGGUUCCCUGAUAGCAGAGCCUCAGAUGAGGUUGAUAGGUGAGGGAUUUAUCCAGAAAUGAACAGGGAAGGAAGGAGAAUUAAUACCAAUAUGUGCUAUUGAGUUGGCCAUUGCAAGGGGUGACUGAUUGUUCAGUCCUCAGGAGUUUCUGAGAAGCCUUGUGAAGCUCUCAAAACCCUUCUUCUGAGGAACAGAGAGGAAAAGCAUUUAUCUGUCAGCUUUUGAAGUCUAUUGUCAAAAGUUGACCACAAGGCAUUAAUUCACUGGUGUUCCUGUGUUGAGCAUGCAUCUGUGCUUGGUUCCUGGAGGAGUCCUAUGUUGCAUAGUCAAAGAAGCCCUGAGGCAAAAGUGAGGAAACUAGGUGCAUAUCUGAGGCAAGGCUCUCACCAGUUAUACCUGUGCUAAGCUAGUAGAUGCCUGUGAUAAACUAGUUGCUGUAGCAAUGGCUAGAGUAAGAAUGUAAGACCAAGAGUAUGUGAAGUAGUACUAAAGAGCUGUCUUACACAUUGGGCUAGAAGGAUGUGAGGCCUGGUCAUUUCCACAAUGCACGUUCGAAGAGACUGGAAAGGAUCUGGGUUUGGUGUGGUUCACUUUAAGUUGCAAUAUGGAUGACCUACAUAUUGUGUUAUUCAGGGUGGAAUGGCCCAGGAAUUGUAAAAUACAGUAUACUGAUGCCGGUCUGUUCAGUUCUGGUAGAAUAUACUGUUUUGGAUCAGUGUGGUUCCUUUAAGGAAAUGGACAUCCCUACUCUGCAGUGAUCACCAACUGAAGGAAACGUAUCUCAAGCUCUGAGGGAGGCCUUUGAAGGCACCCUGCAUUGGCUUGAGUUUAGACAGUAGCACUCCUGCUCCCACCUCCCACCCUGAAACUGUGGAAACACAGCAUGGCAAAAGCUCUCUUCCAAGAAAAUCUUCUGUCUCCUCCUCAAUUCUCUGCAUUUUCAUAGUCCUGCAGUGACUGAGGGGCUUUAAGGGGUGCUAAGCACGUUCACAGCCAUUUCCUUUGUUAGAUUCUGCAUCGGAUGAUCUGGAACCUCAGUGGAAUUUCACUCCUUUCAUGUGUGGAAACCUCUCAAGACUUCACUUUUAUCCCUUCAUGAGCGUCUGGGUCAUCCUAACUCACGUAGGCUUGCAUACCCCCACUUCACUCUAAUUCACAUCUUUGAUUAUUUCCUUCGGAAAAUUUACCAUAACCUGCAGUUAUCUUGUUUAUUUGAUGACUUUAUCAUCUGUUUUCCCCUCUAGAAUAUUAACUUUAUGAAGGCACAGUUCCCGUUUGUCUCAUUCGCUGUUGUAUCCCAGGGCUAGCACAGCCCCUGGGAUGUGGUAGAUGCCCCACAAUAUUUGUUAACAGAAUGAAUGAAUUCACUAAUUUUUUAUUCAGGGUCCCCUAUUUGCCACCGGUUGAUGUGAAAAUCGAAUGGGAUUUUUGUGAAAAUGCUUUGUAAACUAUAAAGUUUUAUAAGUCUUAGUAUCAAAUGAGGUAGAUAUUAUUUCCCCCUUUUAUAGUUGGGAAAAUGGUGCCGAAGAGUAUAAAUGGUUGGUCAAGGCUGCACAGGCAGCAAAUUGGUUGAAAUCAGAUUGCAGCCCAGGCUGGCUGUGAUUGUGAAGAACAUAGACAAGAAAUUAUAAACCCAUUGUUUUUUACCUCCCACAUUUUGUAAUGGGGAAAACCAGAAGACAGGAGCUUGAUUUCGGUAUCCAGAUUACACUUUGAACCAGGAGAGGCUAGGAAGGAGGAUUGGCCUUGAGUUCUGUUUCAGGGUCAUCAGCCUAUCUAUGUGAUUACAUAGGAGUCCCCCCUUAUCAGUAGUUUCACUUUCAGCCUUUUCAAUUACCCGUGGUCAAUCACAGUAUGAAAAUAUGAAAUGCGCUGGGCGCAGUGUCUCAUGCCUGUAAUCCCAGCACUUUGGGAGUCCGAGACGGGCUGCUCACUGGAGGUCAGGAACUCGACACCAGCUGACCAACAUGGUGAAACUCCAUCUCUACUAAAAAUACAAAAAUUAGCCGGACGUGUUGGCACACGCCUGUAAUCCCAGCUACUUGGGAGGCUGAGGCAGGAGAAUCACUUGAACCUGGGAGGCAGAGAUUGCAGUGAGCCGAGAUCACACCAUUGCACUCCAGCCUGGGUGACCAAAGUAAAACUCCGUCCAAAAAAAAAAGAAAAAAAAAACGAAAUGGAAAUUUCCAGAAAUAAACAAUUCAUACAUUUCAACUUGCUGCUGUUCUGAGUAGCGUGAUGAAAUCUUGCGCCAUCCCACUUCAUUCUGCCUGGAAUGUGAAUCAUCCCUUAGUCAAGCAUAUCCACGCUUUAUAUGCUACCCACCCGUUAGUCACUUAAUAACCAUCUCAGUUAUGAGAUCCACUGUCCCAGUGCUUGUGUUCAAGUAACCUUUAUUUUGCUUAGUGGUCUCAAAGCAUAAGAGUAGUGAUGCUGGCAUAUUGUUAUAUUUGUUCUAUUUUAUUAUUAGUUAUUGUUAAUCUCUUACUGUGCCUAAUUUAUAAAUUUACUUUAUCAUAAGGAUGUAUUUAUAGGACAGAACACAUAUAUAGAGAGUUUGAUACUAUCCACGGCAGUAUAUGUAGAGUUUGAUACGAUCCACGGUUUUGUGCAUUCACUGGGGGUCUUGAAACAUAUCCCCCGUGGAUUAGGGGUACUACUGUGUUAAUAAUCAUUGUAGUUAACACUUACUGAAUGCUUUCUAUGUGUCAGCACUUUAUGUGACCCUCUUUAAUCUUUGUAGUUUCAUGAGGUACUAUUAUAUAUAUGAGUCGAAUCACAGAAAGAUGAAGACUCUCACUGAAGGCCACAUGGCUGUGUGGUGUGCCUGGGUUUGAAAUUCAGAGUCAGGGCUCCUGACCACCAUGCUAUAAUGCAUAGGACUUAUAUGGCGUUCGACAUGAGAUUAUAGUUUAGGCCCUGACACUUACCUGCUAUAUGACUCUGCCCCAAACCUCAGUGUCCUCAAAUGGUAAUGAUAAGAAGUGCAGUCAAAAGGUUGUUAAGGUUACUUAGAUAAUGCCUGGGGAGAAUUUAACAUGGUCCUUGUUGAUAGUCAGUACGCAACAAAUGUCAUCUGUCCUCCUCCCCCUCCUCCUCACCUUUAACCAAAUAACUCAAAUAGUAUGAGUGCUUUUAACAAUGAUGAUUUAUUAAAAGAAACAACCCCUCUUCCCUGCCUCCCAUAUCCCCUGUAGUCUCCAUCCACAGGCUUGCUGUUUUCAUCCAUCUUCCUAGUCAAGGAACUCCAGACAGUCACAUCUUGGAAGAUAGGAACUCCAGGAAGGGAUGACGAUCUUAGGGAAAGAUGAUCCUUAAGAUAACUCUUCAUCUGAGAAAAAGACAAAAAAAAUUUUGCCCGAGACCUGCUGUUUUGGGGACCUGGAUCCACAGAAUACAAUCAAGAGGCAACAGUUCCCAAUUUGGGAAAUCAAUCACACCUGCAAAGAGCCAGCCAGGCCCUAAGCAGUCCAAGGAUUGCAGGUGGAUUGGCCAAACAAUACAUUCUGAACACAAAGGGUUUUUAUUUAAAGUGUAUGCUGAUUCUGUUGUGUUUAGUGCAACUUAGUUUAUAAUCAAAACUGGUAGCUUUUUAUUAUGCAUUUUUCAACUAAUGGCUACUGAAAACAAAUAAAUUAUCCUGUGAGGCCCCUGAGAUAUUUUCACAGAAAAGGGGUUCUCAUAAGUCAACAUGGCAAUGUACAUCACAGGGUUAAAAUGAACAUACUCUUUAUUUUUAUUUUUAUUUUUAUUUUUUGAGAUGGAGUCUCCCUCUGUUGCCCAGGCUGGUGUGCAGUGGUGCGAUCUCGGCUCACUGCAAGCUCCACCUCCCAGGUUCACGCCAUUCUCCUGGCUCGGCCUCCUGAGUAUCUGGGACUACAGGUGCCCCCACCACAUCUGGCUAAUUUUUUUUGUAUUUUUAGUAGAGGCAGGGUUUCACCAUGUUAGCCAUUAUAGUCUCGAUCUCCUGACCUCGUGAUCCGCCCGCCUCAGCCUCCCAAAGUGCUGGGAUUACAGGUGUGAGCCACCGGGCCCGACCAAUGAACAUACUCUUUAGUCAUCAAUUUUACAUCUUAGAAUUUGUCCCAAGGAAGUUAAUAAGUGUGUGUAUGCCAAUUUAGUAUUUGUUACAAUCAUAUUCAUAAUAUCAAAAUAAGAAAUAUCUUAAACAUGUAUUACUAAAGGUUGCUAAGUAUCUGAGCAUAGCUGAUGAACUUCUAUAGGUUAUCAAAGAUGAUGGGAUAGAAGCAUUAGUAUUGACAUUAAAAGUUGUUUGGUAGCUACUUUUAAGUGAAAUAAAAAAUAAAAAUAGGCACAUGAUUAUCUCAUUUUUAUAUAAAUAUUACAUAUUUGUGUAUGUUUAAAAUAUGCACCAAAGUGUUAAGCAGACAUUGUUUUGGGGUGGGGGAUUAUGUGUGAUUUUUAUCAUUUUGCUUAAGUAAAUAGUCCAAUUUUUCUCCAGGGCAUACUGGGUUAGGGAAUUAUUUUAAAGGUGUGGAAACCACCAGCCUGUGAUGGAUGCAUCUUUUUCUUGGGAAGGGUGGGGGAAGAGGGAGACAGGUAGGUUUCUGUCCUACUCAUUUCUGGAAAGUCCCACUGAGACCAAGUGCACAACCUACCUAGACUGAACAACGUUUCAGAAAGCAGGGAGGGCCUGGUGUUUUUACCUGUCCUUACCCUGCAACACACUCAUGGCCACACCCAUUGCUGACACAGUGGUCUCCGGGGUUGCAGUCCCAGUCACCUGUGCAGAGCUCGACGCAGGUACCUAUGGAAGAACGGAUGUGCUGAAAACCACCGUACUUUUGGGACAGAUGCUAGGGAGAACAGCCCUUGAUUAAGAAGUCAGUUCUACAUUUUUCUUUUCAUUCAAUAUGCAAUAUGAUUUAUUACUUGAAGAAUAAUAUCAUUAACAUCUUAUAUAUUCUAGUUAAAAGCAAUGCAUUCACAUAAUCUCAAAACAGUAAGGCCGACUUUAGAGAUGGGGAUAAUUGUGUUUGUGGAGGGGAAGUGCAGAGAAACCCACUUAAAUGUCUUCACUUUCCCCACUCUGCAGGGAAUAGAGUGGAGAAGAAGAGACUCACAUUUACCAUGUGCCAUCGGGAGACACUUGCAGUCACCCCAUGCAGUGAGUCUUACUAGGCCCACUUUACAGGUGUGGCAGUUGGGGCUCACAGAGGUGACUUGCUAGCCAGUGGGUACAGAAGUGAGAUUCAACUGAGAUUUGCCUGGCCCCUCAGUCUGAGCACCUUCUGCUGUCCCACAUGGUGAAGCUCAUCCUGACCUAGGUACAUAUCUCCAAAUUUCAAGGAGUCAUUCUGGACCUGAUUGGAGGCUCCCAAGUUCCCAGAACAUCAAGCUCUUUGAGGACCAAUGAAGUAGGCUCAAAGAGUUGGUUAAGAUCGCACAGGCUUUUAGGAAAACAUAUGCAGAACUCUGGAUGAAUAUGUACUGUACUUUGAUUGGCUACUCAGCUAUUAGCAGGAAUUUCUUUACCUGAUUAUGUCUCUGGGUCUUUCUGGAACUUUUCUCAUCUGUAAAAAGGGGCCCCUGGAUUCAGCAGGGGUAAUGAGUUUUAUUCUCCAUUGUCAACUUCAGUCAAUAGAGGUGGCUGUCUGAUGCUGUGUUGAGAAGGGUCAGACACCUUGUCCAGGUUCAAAGAGAAAGAGUGCUAGGACUGAUUAGCAGUAUCUGAGGGGUAUAAGAAGGGGACCUGGUGGGAUAUCUUCAAUGUAGUUGUAGACCUCAGAGAAAAUCAGUACCAUCCCCCCAUGCUUCCCGUAGCUUUUGUUGAUUUGUGGUGAGCAGGCUGAAGAUUCCUCUUCCCCACUCACAGCAGUUUGACUUAUUAAGUCAAUAAUAUAUACUUAUUAAGUAUAUGUUGAUUUCUUACUAUGUAUAAAAUAGAGGAAAUUAUCCAGCAAAUACAAAGAUAUAAGACAAACAAGCUUAGAGUCUAACAAUAUGGAUAAAACAUAUUCAAAGUACUAAAAACAAAGCAAUAUGUAACAAGUGUCCUAAGAGAGGUAUAUCUGAAGAAUUAAAGAGUCUCAGCUAGGCAUGGUUGCUAAUGCCUGUAAUCCCAGCACUUUGGGAGGCUGAAGUGGGAGGAUCACUUGAGCACAGAAGUUUGAGACCAGCCUGGGUGAUACAGUGAGACCCAGUCUCUACAAUUUUUUUUUUUUUUAAUUAGCCAGGCUUAGUGUCACAUGCCUGUUGUCCCAGCUACUUGGGGGACUGAGAUAGGAGGAUCACUUGAGACCAGGAGAUUGAGGCUGCAGUAAGCCAUGAUCAUGCCACUGCACUCUGGUCUGGGCAACAAAGCAAGAUCCUGCCAAAAAAAAAAAAAAAAGGCUCAGAGAAUAUGACAUUACUUCCAAUUAGAUUAAUCAGAAAAGGUGAGUUUUGAAGUGCAGGAAUCUUUUUAAGGCAGAACUGAGGGGCAUGGGUGGAGUGUUGUGAGAAGAAAGAAGAAUUACUAGCAACAGUUCACAAGGGGAAAUGCAAAAGGGCUGGGAUGAGGGUGAGGCAAGUGAGGUGCCUUGCACAAUGCUGGCGGUGAGCACCCAUUUCAUGUUUGCACCCUGGGUGCCUCAUCCACUUCACUCCUCACCGUGAAACACAAGGAACACAGGAGGAGUGGCAGAUGGAGGGCUGGGUAAGUGUUAGGGAACAGCUGGAAAUGAAGCAGGAAAAGUAAGCAGGGGAUAAAGUUACGGGGGUUGGGGGGCAGAUCUCGAGGGCCUCAGGAGUUUGGAUUUCAUUUGAUAGAUCAAGAGAGAGAUGUGAUUGCUGUUUAAUUAGGAAGAUUAUUCUGGUGUGAGAGCCUAGAAUGGAACAGAAUUCAACAAGCAAGCAAACUGCUGCAGAAAGACAGGGGCAGGGAGAGCUAUUAGGAAGCUCCUUGGAUGGCCCAGACAUGAGGUCAUCGGGGCUGGAAAUACUGCGUGACAAUGGGAGAUGGCAGGGUAAGGAAAGAACAUAUGCAAGAGACACUCUCAGAGAAUGGACAGUAUUUGGCAACCAGUUUAAUGUCAGGGGAAGGAGAGCAAAGAAGAGAGGAAAGUAAUAACUGAAUCCAAUAAUGUUUAGAGAGAAGAAUAAAAUACCAUGAAGGAUAAUACAGGAGAAAAGAAAGUUUGAGAACUGAGGAGGUGGCGAGCAGUGUCGGACACUACAGAGGUUAAAGACUUGGUGACUGAGGAGUCAUGAGAUUUGUCCACAGGAUCUGGGAGAGAAGUUUCAGGAGAGUGAUGGGGCAGGGAUGGAGGCUGUAGGCCAUCUUCAAGGGGUCAAGGAAUAACUUAUGGGGGAAUAAGGGCAGAGAAUUAAGAUUACUCCUUUGAGAAUGUUGGUAAAAGGAAAAGAAGAGAUUGAGAUGAUUAAUAUUUAACAUGAUUCAGAAAAUAUUUUCUCUAGGUGAUCCAAUUUACUUGUAGCAAGAGAGGAAGAAGCUUAUGGAGAGGGAGAGGGCAGGAGUCAGAGGGUGGCUGAUGAGGGGGUAAGAGGGGAGGUACAGAGAUUCCAAAUGGAGCGGUGACCCAGGGAAAGGAGUGCGGGAAGGUGGAGGUAGAAGAAAAGAGAUUCUGCUCUGGGGAGCUGAGUAGCGGCAGUUGGAGGGUCCCUGCAGUGGCCUUUUAAGACCUUUUCUUCUUUCCUUUCUUCCCCUCUCCUCCCCACACACACUGGUCCCUGAUGUCCUACUUUCUGGCCCCCUCAUUCAAGGAAAAAUGAACAGGGCUACCUUCUGCCUGGACUCACCCAAAAGCCGGUCUCCUGCAGCCUGAAGCUCUUGUACCUCUAGGCUGAAGAUGAUGAGGAUCACAGGAGGAGGAAGGCUGCCAACUUCAUGUUGCUGUUGGAAGGCUUUGGAAAAACACAGCAGGGCUGAGAGCAGCUGAAAUUUAUACCUUCCACCCGCUGAGCUGGAAUGCAAGGCCAGGGGUGGGACUAGGGACUGCAGACACCUAAGCCCUGCCCAGAAACUGACAUUUCUGGAGAAUAGCCACCCACCCUGUGUACCCUGGGUCCUUCUACAUUACCUAAGCAAGGCUCUGAGCCAAGGGAACGCCCUCCUCUGACAGAAAAAUAAGACUCCUACACCAGGCCAGUUGCAGUGGCUCACAUCUGUAAUCCCAGCACUUUGGGAGGCCAAGGCAGGAGGAUCAUUUGAGCCCAGGAGUUCAAGACCAGCCUGGGUAACAAGAGCAAGACCCUGUCUCUACAAAAUUAAAAAAAAAAAAAGUUAAAUAAUGAAAAAGACUCCUAAAUCAAAAAAGCUGUGAGUGACUGAGAAAAAGGGGCUGGCGUGGGGAGGGUGGAGGGAUGAGUAUUAACUUUUAUUAUGUAUAUUCAUUCACUCAUUCAUUUUCAACAUAAGUAUUGAAUGUCUGCUCUGGGCCAGGCGUGGGCUAGGCAUGAGAGAAUCCCAGAGAAAUUACAGUCUGGGAGCUAGGUGCCAGGUAGCAAGGGUGCAGUCUGCUCUUUCCCUUCUUCCCCCGACCCACCACACCCGCCCACCUCCACCCCCAACUUCCAGGCCUAGCACCUCUGGAAAUGAGGGCAGGGAAAAGCAGUACAGAACAGGCAGGGGUGCUCCCUUAUCACCUGCUGGUGGUAGAGAGGUGGCCUCAGUCUCCCACUGCCUUGGUCUGAUUCUGUUGCUGGAUACCUAGGCAGAUGUGAUGGUCUUUGCCUAUAGGAGCUAUGUAAUUUUCUUGAGAUAAAGCUCUGCUUCAUCUCAUCCAACUUCAUUUCUGAGAACCCAAACUCAAGUUAUGCAUAUUAAACUCUUCUAGGAUAUCUCUCGUCCUGCAGCUCUGGGGUGGGAGUGGGGGCGGGACCAUAGUAACCAACCAGCUGGGGAGUGAGGUUUCAUUUCCCCCUCCUUGUAGCACUCCUAAUCUAGAUGAAUGAUUUUCUUAAACACACACUCCCGUUGUUUUUUUUUUUGCAGGGGAGUGGGGAUGUUGUCAGGGGUAGGGAGAAAUAUACCCUCUUCCCUCUCCAAUGGCAAGGAUGCAGGGAGACAUGUAUAACUUUUGGCCAUGUGUCGUGUGUCCCACAAGAUACCUUAUAUAAUGUGAGAUAAGGAGGAUACCUGGGCUAGUUGAGGGUAGUGAGACAAGUUUGCAACCUUGUGAUAGGCCCCCUGGGCCACUUUCUAAAGUGAAGUCAACUUUAGACUUCACUUGUAAGUCUAAAGUACAUGAUGUUUCACUUCUGGUUCCUAACUCUGAGGUUACAGGGAGAGACCCACUCUGUUCUACUUCAUGUAUCACAGUUCCUGAAAUGCCAUUGGUUAGAAGUCCUUUGGGCAAACAACUGACCUUUUCUGCAAAUCCUUCUUAUCUAACAAGGCCCAGCCUAAAUGUCACCUCCAAAACCUUCCUCAACUUCCACCCCUAGGAGAGUAACAUUCUCUUUAGUACUUAUUUUGUCAUAGGACUUGUCAGACUCUAUUGUAAUUAAUUAUUAUGAUCAUUUUACAUUUCUCUCCUGUAUCUUGCUGGCUAGCAUGGGGUCUUACUGAUCUUUCAUCCUCAGCUCUCAAUAAUGGGCAUUUAUUAUCCUCAAUAAUGUGUGUUUUGGGAUGAUGAGGAGCAUUCAGAGAGCCAUUGUAAUUAGGAAGACACUUCACGUGGUUUCCAAUACAGACAGGCAUUAUUAUUGCCACGUUACAGUUGAGAAGAUUAAGCCACAGAAAGUUUAACUAGCCCCAAGUAAUAGUUAAAUGGCAGAACCACAGUCAAACUCCAAAGACAGUGGUCUAUACUAGUACACAUUACUGUCAGGCUACAUCCAAAUUCUUAGAAAAUAAUUUGGACUCAUCUCUGGGUACAGAUAAAUGAGCUUUUGAGGUCACAGAAUUCUGCUUCAUCUAGUGUGGCACCCGUAAUCACAAUUUCAUUAGCACAAAAUAACUGCUUUGAGCUAAGCAACUCACUCUAGAGGCUUCUGAGUACUCAAUCAGAUUAAAAGUAGGUGCCAUCCACCCAAAACUGUUACUUCGGUUUUAAGUGAGUUGAGGAGCAGCAUGUGGCCCUUAUUGCUGGCUGUUUACUAAGGCCGUUUCGAGGUUGUGAAAACAAGCCUGAUCCGAGUAUAGCACAGUGGCCUGAGAGUGAGGACCCCGGAGUGUGACGGGUCUGGUUCGCAUCUGCUUCACUACUUGCUAGCUGUGUGACCUUGGGAAAAUUAACUUCCCUUUCUGAGCCUCACUUCUCUUUUCUGUAAAGUGGGGAGUAUAAUUCCUACUUCAAUGUUGGACAGACCAAAUUACAAUAUGUGUACACAUACAUACCCCUGGCACAGGGCCCUCAACACUAGCAGCUACUAUUGUGAAUUUCUGAGAAAGAGGAUGCAUGUCUUUCUAUUCCCUAGAGCAGGGCAUCUACAGACAGCUCAUGCAAAAGUGUAUAAUUUAAUUAAGGAAAUAUUUCAAGAUAAAGAAAACUCAGAACCUGUCCCUAUUUUAUUCUGCUGGAUAUUGUAAACUGAACCAUGAAGAGACUCCAAGGCUGAAGCUAGUAUUACUGUCACUUCCAUGGCUCUAUGCGGGCUCAUGAUUCCCAUAUGGAGGUCAGGAAGCUUAGUAUGUGACCAAUUCUGCCUAAAGAGUCAUUAGCAAGGGAGGGUCAAUAAAGUCACAAUCUUAUAUAAGGCAUGCAUCCUUCCACCUACACCUCUUCAUCUUGUACCAGAUCUAGAUAGUGUCUCAGGUAAGCCUAAGAAUCUGAGCUCAGAAAUCAGAUCACCUGGACUCAGAUCCUGACUCCAACUUAGUAGCUGCAUGACUGAGGACAAGUUAUUUAACCCAACAUCAUGUUGCUUGGGGAAGUUUCCUUUGAUGACAACACAGAUGGGCAGAGAUGGGCUAUGAUUUAUGUCUUCCCUCCCAGCAUGUGCAUCCUGGGUCAUGACACAGGUAUUUGGAAGCUUAAGCCCCAGUAGGAAGCUGACCUUUCUGGAUUCUAUAGACCUGUGUUUAGCAUUAAGUAUUUUCAAAAAAGCUCUCUAAGCCAAGGGAAACAGCUUCUUCUGCCUAAUAAUUAAGACUUCUAAAGAAUGGUGGCCACUUUGAAUGACAGAGAGAAAUGGGGCAGGGAGAAAGGAACUGGCAUAUACUGGGCCAGUUCCUUCUGUGUGCCAGAUUUUACCCCCCACCCCACAUGCAGAUCUCCUAUCGCUACCCCCUUUAAAGAUCAAAAACAUUCUCAGAGGUUGUCUUCAUUUCACACACGAAGAGACAGUAGUUUGCCCAGGUUUACACAACUUAAUUCCCCAAGUCUUUCUGAUUUCAAAUCCCAAGCUCUCUCCUUCACAUGACACUGUUUAUGACUUUUCCUUACACACCCCUGUUUACCUGAUUUUAGAUCCAAAUAUUAAUAUUACAGGGCUCAGGUCUUGGCCUAGGAACAAGGACUGGCAUCCUCUUUUCUUCUUCCCCCAGUCUUCACAGAACUAUCUAGAAUUCCUCAUUCAGUCACACUGUCUGAAAUGUUAACAAGUAGAGACUUCCUAGGGUAAAAAGCCUCCUGGCACAUUCAGAUGUAGGGAAAAUCCCAUAUUUGAUUAUAAUAACAUUUUACUUCCUCUUUCCAACUUGAAAAAAAAACUCAAGCCUUCUUGUAUUACAGGUUCUCAGAAAUGUUGAUCCAUCUUUUGUAUCUAAGUUUUUAUUUCUCCUUUUGCAAAAGCUGCUCUAAAUACCAGCUUUGCUGCUCCGUAGGCUCUGAAUGGUCAGAAGAACAUUCACAUUACGAGGAUGACUCUGUGGAAUGCUUGACCACUAAGUUUGGUAAAUAGCUGGUCAGUCUUUUUCACUUUAGCCACAGCUGGGGAGGAAAGCCUCUAUAUGAGUGGCAGAGGCUGGCUGGCUGUUUACCAGACUCAUUUCUUCUUUCUGAGGACACAGUAGCUUACAUUUCCUAGCUUUCUUUGCCAUUGGUUUGCUACAGCCAUGCAAUUGAGUUCUAGCUAAUGGAAUAUGAGCAGAAGUGAUCCACUCCACUUCCAGUGUGAGACCCCUAACUCCCCUGCUCCCCAUGCACAGCCUUCCACUGUCUUCUUCCUAUUGCUGGCAUGAAGCACAUAAGCAAGCUAUCUUGGAAGCCAUGUGUUGAAGCUGGUGAAGACUACAAGAUGGAAGGAGCCUGGUCCCAGAAUCACCACUUGGAGGAAAGCUGCUUGCUGUUCAAGUACUCCAGUUUUGGAUUUCACACAGGGAGGGAUAACCAGUAAGGGAUAACAAGUUAAACCAGCAAGAUUUGGGUUUCUGACCCCCUAGUUGACCAACAGAUCAGCUGACCCCCUUCUGAUCCCCUAGCUGACUGACAGAUUCAUGAGAACUACUGGGGGAACCCGCCCCCAGUAUUUCAGCGUUGGUUCUUUCUAUUUUCCAUAAGUAUCAGCCGGCUGAGAAAUAAUGAGAAAGAGUACAAAGAGAGGAAUUUUACAGCAGGGCUGCUGGGGGUGACAUCACAUAUCGGUAGGACCGUGAUGCCUGCCCAAGCCUCAAAACCAGCAAGUUUUUAUUAAGGAUUUCAAAAGGGGAGGGGAUGUAUGAACAGGGAGCAGGUACAAAGAUCACAUGCUUUAAAGGGCAAAAAGCAGAACAAAGAUCACAUGCUUCUGAGAAAACAGGACAAGGGCAAAAGCAGAACUCCUGAUAAGGGUCUAUGUUCAGCGGUGCUUAUAUUGUCUUGAUAAACAUCUUAAACAACAGAAAACAGGGUUCAAGAGCAGAGAACUGGUCUGACCAUAAAUUUACCAGGGCCGGGUUUUUCCCCACCCUAAUAAGCCUGAGGGUACUGCAGGAGACCAGGGUGUAUUUCAGUCCUUAACUCAACCGCAUAGGACAGACAUUCCCAGAGCAGCCCUUUAUAGACCUCCCCCCAGGAAUGCAUUCCUUUCCCAGAGUAUUAAUAUUAAUAUCCCUUGCUAGGAAAAGAAUUUAGCGAUAUCCUUCCUACUUGCAUGUCCAUUUAUAGGCUCUCUGUAAGAAGAAAAAUAUGGCUCUUUUUGCCCAAUCCCACAGGCAGUCAGACCUUAUGGUUGUCUUCCCUUGUUCCCUAAAAAUCGCUGUUAUUCUAUUCUUUUUCAAGGUGUACUGAUUUCAUAUUGUUCAAACACACGUUUUACAAUCAAUUUGUACAGUUAACACAAUUAUCACAGUGGUCCUGAGGUGACGUACAUCCUCAGCUUACGAAGAUAACAGGAUUAAGAGAUUAAAGUAAGACAGGCAUAAGAAAUUAUAAAAGUAUUAUUUGGGAACUGAUAAAUGUCCAUGAAAUCUUCACAAUUUAUGUUCCUCUGCCACAGCUCCAGCCGGUCCCUCCGUUUGGGGUUCCUGACUUUCUGCAACAGAGAACAAUUGUUAUUUCAAGCCACUGAGCUUUGGGACAAUUUACUUUUGUUGCAGCAGCUAAUUAAGACAAUGCAGAUUCUCAUUGGAGAAUCUAAUGAUUCAAAAGUCAGUUAGAAUGGCUGACAUUGACAAGUCAGCCUAACCUCUUUCUUCUACCAACACCAUCACUACCACCACUGCUGCCGCCCUCCACUGUACUCCUAAAGAGAGUGGCUACUUUUGGGGAUUCUUAAUUUCUUGAAGUCACUGUGUGAAGGCCAAAGCAACUCCAUGUUGUAAUCUGCCAUGUUGCCUUCAGAUUAACCUCUGCUCUGGGAAGGCCAUUAAAAUUUCCAGUUUGUGGCCGGGCGCCGUGGCUCAUGCCUGUAAUCCCAGCACUUUGGGAGGCCGAGAUGGGCAAAUCGCAGGGUCAGGAGAUCAAGAUCAUCCUGGCUAACAUGGUGAAACCCUGUCUCUACUAAAAAUACAAAAAAAUUAGCUGGGCAUGGUGGCAGACGCCUGUAGUCCCAGCUAUGCGGGAGGCUGAGGCAGGAGAAUGGCGUAAGAGAAUCUGGGAGGCAGAGCUUUCAGUGAGCCGAGAUCAUGCCACUGCACUCCAGCCUGGGCGACAGAGCGAGACUCCAUCUCAAAAAAUAAAUAAAAUUUCUAGUUUGUCUGUUAUUCCUUGUGUAACAGCACAUACUUACUGUAAAUUCUGCUCUUAGGUCAAAACAACUUUGGUGUUAUCAUACUUUAAUUGUUCUACACAUCACUUCUGAAUCAUGUAUGCCCUUUUCCUGUGGUAUAUCAGCCCUGGGUCUGUGGGGUAAUGGUGCAGGGAUCCACCAUCUCAUCUCUCCACCACCAGAGACACAGACAUGGCUUCUGUUUGUAGGUCCCUAUUAAAUGUUACCUUCUAAGAGAUAGGAUUUGUCAGCCUCUUUCUUCAGCCUCUCAGCUUCCUUGUACUUUGGGGGUAGGUUUGCAUAGACCUGCCUGCCAUGGAACAAUUAUAAAUUUUUUUCUGAAAAAAUGGCAGUGUUAUAGUUGUGGAAUACUAUAGUCAUGUUACAUUUAGGAAGUGCCAGCCCAUGGUGUAUUUCAGAUGUAAUUUCAUUCCUUCCUAUUGGCUGGUGAGGCCGGAAGACUUUGGGGUGACAUCAUUGUGCACUUUGUUGGCAUAGAAGAAGGUAAUAUUUGUGAGUCUUGGGGUUUCAGCAUGAAACUGAGAAAGGGAAGUUCAGUGAAGAGGAGAAAAAGGGUAGAGUGGACACUUUUUUUUUGGAGUUGGACCAGCCUGAAGUAAGUAAAGAUUUCUGGGCCACCAAUGACUGUCCAUUGCACAGAUCCAAGCAUACCAGUCAGAAAGCAGCCACUUCCCAGGGAGCAUCAUGUAGAUUUUAGACUCCAAGGAUACCACAAGCCACUAUCAGGUGAGAGGUGCAAUUGUUACAACCCAGCAUAGAGGUCCCCUCUUUAUUUCUCAAAGUUUUGGGAGAACCCAAGACCCAUAGCCUUUAUUUUAGGGACUGUUUAAUCAUCUUGGCAGAGAAAGAGACUACGUAAUUGACUCAGGUCAUUUGAGAUCUUAGCAUUAACCAAGAUCCUGUAACACAGGCAGAUUUAGCCCUUUUGUUUCUAUUUCUAUAUUUAAUAUAAAUUUAUAUUAAAUUCUUGCAAAAAUUUAGCUUUUGGCUAAAGUCAGCUUUUGGCCACAGCUGUUGAUCAGCAGGGAAACAGAAGGAGAGGCCUCUGAUGUCAGUAAGGGAUUUUCACACUUAGCAAGCAACUCUUGUGGCCAGUUGCACAAAAGCAGAGUUGUAGUGAGAUAUCCAAUUCCCAUUAGAGAAAUAAGGGAGCUGGAACUCAGAGAACAUAAGUGAUUUGCUCACAGUCAAGGCUUGUGAGUGGCUGUGCUGGGACUGGAGUCAGGCGAACAUGGCCCUGAGGUCCAUAUUGAAUAGAAACCUUCUCUAUGAUUCCUCAACAGACACACAUACCCAUGCUGUUUCAGGUCCACUCUCAGGUUGCUUCUGCUGGGGCCUUAUGUGCCUGAGGGCAGAAACUCAUAAUCAUUUGAGGACCCACAAGGUGUUGCAGUCCAGCAUGACCAUUUCAGACUCCAGCAUGAUAUUUCAAACCAUAUAGGGUAGCAUCCUACCCUAUAUGAUUCCUAGCUGGGGCCCCCAUCACCAGGGAAAUGGUGCUGGUUCUCACCCAGAAAUAGAUAAAGAGGAAGUGUCUCUGCUGAAUAAGAACAGGUAUGCAUGCCUAUCCCGACUCCCUGCUCCCUGAAUGAAGCAGGGCCUCCUGGCAUCGCUUGAUGUUUGUGAUGCUAUCCCCGGUUGCAUUGGCAGCAGCCAACACCAGGGUUUUCCAGUGGCUGAGGUCCAACACGUGGUUAAUGUCAUUGCCUUUUCCUCCCUUCCUUGGGAUCAGGGGAAUAAAUGUCUCUUACUUAGAACUGUUCCACACAGACUUAGAGUGACAGAGAAGUAAUUUAACCUAUUAAAGGCCAUUUUGAGCAAAAACCACCUUGUGUCACUGAAGCUGUAGAACUGAGCCACAGGAGGAAACUGUUAAAGUCGCAGGGUCAAGGACAAGGUACCUAUGUUAUCCCGAUGGCAUAGAAGCACAGCCUGAGUCUCUUCUUUGGCUGAGCCAAGGGCGUGCUGGAGAGGCCUGAGAGAAGAAGGAACGGCCCUUCUGACCAGUGCCCUUUUGGUUCACAAGGAACGUCUCCUCUUGUUUAAGUGAUUUGGCUGAGCUUGCUACUUCUGCUUUGAGAGUCAAAUAUCAGGAUCAAGACUUUAAUUAUCCCCAAUUUACAGAUGAUGAAACCAUAUUGGGCAGGAAAGAAAGUCACCGCAGGAGAGCGAGUUGGACCUGGGCACUGGCUGAGGACAAAGGGGAAUGAUAAUUUGGGAUGUAGCUUGUUAAGGGGCCUCCCAAGUGUUCUUGUGAUCCAGGUGUGGAGAGGAUAGAGCAGAAUGGUUGCCAGGGAGAUGCAGGUAGGGUGCACUGCAAGAGUGGGAGAAAUUAAAGAGAACAUGCAACAAAGCCUUGGGACAGCGGGAGGGGGAUGGACCACCCUGUUUUGUGCUACGAGAGAAGAGAGCAAGAAAAGGAAUCUGUGUUAAAUCCCGACAGCCUGCAGGAGAAGCAAAUGCCCUUCCUUUUGUUCAUCAGCAGUGAGACUGGCAUCCCUGUAGCUUUGGGAAACUGGCCAGUGUGGAUGCCAGCUCCCUCCAGCGGGCCUGACUGGGAGACCUUGGGCUGGGGUUCUGGUCUGGGGCUCCUAGGCCUGAUGGGAGGAGAGUUCAGCCCAGGUUUCCUGUGCUUCAGCUCGUAUCCAGAUGAUGGUAACUAUUGAAAUGAGAGACUCAAAAGAAGCUGGAAACUGCAUUUUUUGUUGUCCCAUGUGGACACCUGUGUUCAGUUCCUAGUUCUACCUCUUGCUGUCUGUGUGUUCUUAGGUAACUGACUUAAACCUUUCUGAGUCUCAUUUUCUUCAUUUAUGAAAUAAAAGACAUAACACUUAUGUCAGAUAUUGUCCUGAGGAUUAAAUGGGAGAAUGAGCAAGACUCUUCUGCAUUCCCCUUGCGUCCAGUGGGUGGAGGCCAGAGAAGCUGCUAAACAUCCUGCCAGGUGCAGGACAGCCCCCAUCACAAAGAAUUGACUGGAUCCUGAUGUCAGUAAGGCAGAAUUGAGGAUCCUUGGUGUGGGGGAAAAAGAAUAAACUCGGAAGCUUGGCAGAUCUCAAUUCAAACCCUGGUUGUACCACCUCUAGCUGAGUGACCUUAGGCAGGUCUAUGAACUCUCUGAGACUUGGCCUCCUCAUCGAUAAAAUGAGGGAGAUAAAACUACCAAGCUCACCAGAAAUAACCCCAUGCAUAUAUGGUCAACUAAUCUUUGACAAGGUCAUCAAGGAUACACAAUGUAGAUUCUUUUAUUCCUUUACUUUCUUAAUAGGCUUCCUUUCACUCUACUUUUACAAAAAAGAAUACACAAUGUAGAAAGGAAACUCUCUUCAAUGAAUGGUGUUGGGGAAAGUUCCUGCAAAAGAAUGAAAUUGCACACUUGUUUUACAUCAUAUACAAAAAAUUAGCUCAAAAUGGAUUAAAGAUUUAAAUGUAAUAUCUGAAACCAUAUAACUCCUAGAAGGAAACAUAGGGAAAAUAUCUUCUUGACAUUGGUCUUGGCAAUAAUAUUUUUUUGCCAUAACACCAAAGCACAGGCAACAAAAGCAAAAAUAAAUAAAUGGGACUAUAUCAAACUUAAAACGUUUUACAUAGCAAAGGAAACAAUGACAAAAUGAAAAGGCAACCUAUGGAAUGGAAGAAAAUAUUUGCAAUCCAUAUAUUUGAUAAGGGGUUAAUUAUAUAAGGAAUUCACACAACUCAAUAGCAAAAAUUAAUAAAUACAUAAAUAACCCAAUUAAAAAUAGGUAAUGGACCUGAAUGGACUUUUUUUUCCCCAAGGAAGACAUACAAAUGGCCAGCCAGCAUAUGCAAAGGUGCUCAAUGUCACUAAUCAUCAAAGAAAUGCAAAUCGAAACCGCAAUGAGAUAUUGCCACAUAGGAUAGGACAGCUAUUCUAAAAAAGAGAAGAGAUAACAAGUGUUGGUGAAAGUGUGGAGAAAAGAGAACCCUUGUACACUGUUGGUUGGAAUGUAAAGUGGUAUAACCUUUAUGGAAAACAGUAUGGAAGUGCCUCAAAAAAUUAGAAGUGAAAGUACCAUACAAUUCAGCAAUCCCACUUCAGGAUAUAUACUCCCCAGAAUGGAAUUAGAAUCUUGAAGAGAGAUCUGUGCCCCAUGUUUAUUGCAGCAUUAUUCACAAUAGCUAAGAUAUGGAAACAUCCUAAGUGCCCAUCAACAGAUGAAUGGAUAAAUAAUAUGUAUAUAAACCAUGGACUAUUAGCCAUUAAAAAGAAGAAACUCCUGUCAUGGAUAAACCUGGAGGAUAUUAUGCUGAGUGAAAUAAGCCAGACACAGAAAGACAAGUUUUGUAUGAUCUCACUUCUAUGUGGAAUCUAAGAUAGUGAAAUGCAUAAAAACAGAUAGUAGAAUGGUGGUUGCCAAGGGCUGGGGGUGGGGAAAAUGGGAAGCUAUUAAUCAAAGGCUAUAAACUUUCAGUUGUAAGAUGAACAAAUGCUGGAGAUUUAAUGUACAGCAUAGGUGAUAAUGGAUGUAAUAAAUUUGUGAUAAUUAGUACACAAUAUAUACAUAUAUGAAAUCAUCAUGUUGUAUGCAUUAAAUAUAUACAAUCCUUGUCAACUAAAUUUUUUUUAAUUUAAAUGCCUAGGUCAUAAGAAUUCUGAGAAUUAAAUACAAUAACAUAUAUGAAUGGGCCUGCUAUACAGAAGGUGCUAAAUAGGUUUGUUUUGUUUUGUUUUAUUUCAACUCUGGCAGAUGUAGACUUAUUGGGAAAGAAUGUAGAAUACCCUUGUGCACAAGGAUUAUCUAUAUGAUGACUAAAUAUCCUGCAUACAUGCCAUGUCAUUUCUUUUUUUUUUAUAUGCAAUACUUUUAUUUUAGACAUGCAAGGAAAGCUAUUUCAGAAUCUACUAAUUUAAAGCAAGCAGCUGUAUACAGACAGCAAAAGAAGCAACAUUUUGUUACAGCUUAGCACAAGGCAUCCAACGCAAACAGACAUGAGACAAUGCAUAUUUAUGUAGCAUUAAAACCAGAUGAAUAAUAUAUUAUGGGGCAGGAGGAGGAAAGGAGGGGAAAAAUAGAAAUGAAAGACCAAUGUUUCUCAAUGCUUCCAAUAUAUAAUGCUAAAUUUCCCACCUGAUAGCACAUCCAGGUGCUUCAAAUGUAGUGCAUUACAGUGAGAAUGUUAAGAAUGGAAAAUCUUAUCUGUGUACCUGCCUAAUACUAAGUUUGGUCAAAACACAUUUUCAUAGAUCUUCUUUCAGUGGUAAAUCGAUUUGAACAUCUUGUGAAGUUAUUGUUUAAUAACUUACUUAACUUAGGCUUUAUGCUGUCUAUAUAUAAACAAUGAAUUCUUUUCCUUUUAUAAAAAAAUAUGCUGCAUGUUUUAUUAAAAGAAUAUGCAAUAGUUACCAAUAUUAAAGGUUUUAAAAUUCAGAAAUAUAAUGCCACAGUUAACAAAGUAUUAAGUAUUUAAAUGAGGACUUAAUAUAUUAGAAUGCCAUCACUAGUAAAAUAUAAGUAUUUAGGUAUUA
rnacentral:lncRNA from 1 species